rnacentral:lncRNA from 1 species
AGAAACUCCAGGCAACUCUUACACAAAUUCAGCACACAGUUCCUCUGGAUCAUUAGAAGAAGAUUCAUUUCCUCUUCCCAUGAGGCAAUCUCUCCAGUCACAUUGCCUCAUGGACCUUCUGCCUGAUAGACGACAACUGUACAGGCAUUUCCUGCUAAGCAAGCAACCCAUGUACAAAAGGGUGCUCAGACUACUACAUGGAUUGAAAGGGCCACCGAUUUUGGGACUCUGGGCCUGACGGUGGCUGCCAGAUUUGUGCAUGUCUCUCUUAUAUCAUUAACUUCAGGUUCUAAAAGCUGUCUGUGAAACUAUGACAAUGCAAUGCAUGUUCCUUAAUAUUGAUUGGAAUAAAAUAGCAUGCCAUCACUGUUACAGUAUAUCUUCUUUUGGAAUAGUAAAUGUUUUAUGCAUUACAAAAAGAGUCUAAUACAAUACACGCUUUGUCACGAGAUUAAUCUGUCUGUGCC